UGCUACGGUGACCUAGUGGUUAGGGCGUCAGUCUCAGAUGUGGGAACUCGCGGGUUCGAACCCCGACCGAGCCA